UUCGUCAAAAUGGCACUGUAUCGCCGCCUUUCUCAGACUCGCCAUGUCUUCCAUCGUCACUGUAUCACUGCUCUUUACCCCUCCGCCCACCUAACUAACCCUAGCCCCAUUGCUCUUCAUUCUCAUUUAAUCAACAGCCCCUUUCAAUUCUCUUCAUCUAAUGAUGAUCAUUACACUCACACCCUUAAUUCUAUAAAAUCAUUCACAUUUUACUCCCCACAUUCUUCAAGAAUUGAACUUUCAGGGUUUCACUUUUCAACCUUAGCUAAUUCAGAAGAAAAGAAGAAGAAGAAGAAUGAGCAACAAAAGGCAAAGCCUUCUUGGAUUGAUACUUAUUUGCCUCAAAGAAUUAGACCCUAUGCACAUCUUGCCCGACUUGAUAAGCCUAUUGGCACUUGGUUACUUGCUUGGCCUUGCAUGUGGUCGAUUGCUUUGGCUGCUCCACCAGGGAGCCUACCUGAUGUGAAGAUGAUGACAUUAUUUGGUUGCGGGGCUUUUCUUUUGCGAGGUGCUGGAUGUACAGUUAAUGAUCUUCUUGAUCGCGAUAUUGAUACUAAGGUGGAAAGAACAAGGUCGAGGCCAGUCGCUAGUGGUGUCUUGACACCCUUUCAGGGGCUCACUUUUCUUGGGUUCCAAUUGCUACUAGGUCUUGGGAUUCUUUUGCAAUUAAACAAUUAUAGCCGCAUUUUGGGAGCUUCUUCCUUGUUGCUGGUCUUCUCAUACCCCCUCAUGAAGAGGUUUACAUUUUGGCCUCAAGCCUAUCUUGGUCUAACUUUCAACUGGGGAGCUUUGUUAGGUUGGGCUGCUAUUAGAGGAAGUAUUGAUCCUUCAGUUGUGCUUCCACUAUAUGUCUCGGGUGCGUUUUGGACGCUUGUAUAUGACACAAUAUAUGCACAUCAGGAUAAAGAAGAUGAUCUCAAAGUGGGUGUCAAAUCUACAGCCUUGAGAUUUGGAGAUUCCACAAAAGAAUGGAUCAGUGGGUUUGGAUUAGCUUGCAUCAGCAGUCUUGCUCUUUCUGGAGUUAAUGCCAAUAUUGGAUGGCCAUACUAUGCCUUUUUGACAGCUGCUUCUGGCCAAUUGGCUUGGCAAAUUUGGACUGUUGACCUAUCAUCUCGUGCUGAUUGCAACAGAAAAUUUGUUUCCAACAAAUGGUUUGGUGCGUUUAUCUUUGGGGGGAUUCUAUCUGGAAAACUAUUGUGACAAUAGUUACUGAUAAAAAACAAGUCUUACCAAUUUAACCGGCUGGAGAUGUGUACCAUGGGAGCUCAAUCUUGGAGCUUGCAGCAAAUCUCAAGCUGGAUGCUCAAAUAAUUUGUUCCUUGCAGCAUUCAAAGCUGUAUUUGGGUUGAUACGAGAAACAUACGCAGGAUUUGUGACCAUCUUUUUGCAUAUAUUUUUAUUUAUAUGGUAUAGAUUUGUUUGGAGAUAUGGUAAAAAGCUAGGGGUGCACGCAUACAACAAUAACUACGACUCAGUCCCAAACAUGUGUGCAGACAUACCGGUUCUCUUUCUUUUUCUUUUACCUUAAUAGUCUUAUUGGGUAUUUCCUCCGUGCCAUCAUGAUAGAAGGCAGUAGAUUAUAGCUUUCUCUAUGGAAGAAUUAACCAGAGAGUUUACCAAGAUAUCUCUGUAUACAGUAAUAUCAACAUGCAUUUGUUGGCAACUGUUGUUGUAGGUUCCCAUUGGCCGAUGUUGUUGUAGGUUCCGUUUGGCCAUUGUCAGGGAAUUUUCUUGCAGAAAUGUUCAUUGAAGGCUCCUGUGCUUUCUUUUCCUUUGUUUGAAGACGUAUCAUUUCCUUGUAAUGUACUCUCUAAAAUAGUUUGGGCAGCUUUUCAAGGAACUU